CGAAGGGGCUAGCGUUGCUCGGAAUUACUGGGCGUAAAGGGCGCGUAGGCGGCGGCCCAAGUCAGGCGUGAAAUUCCUGGGCUCAACCUGGGGGCUGCGCUUGAGACUGGGUUGCUAGAGGACGGAAGAGGCUCGUGGAAUUCCCAGUGUAGAGGUGAAAUUCGUAGAUAUUGGGGAAGAACACCGGUGGCGAAGGCGGCGAGCUGGUCCGUAUCUGACGCUGAGGCGCGACAGCGUGGGGGAGCAAACAGGAUU
rnacentral:rRNA from 1 species